CCCUUAUGGCCUCAACCUCUCCGUCGAAUCUCGUACGUCUUAUAGAUAAACUCUUCACACAUAUCAGUGACAGUCCUUCUACACGCUCACGCUUAUUUCCAAGAAGACGAUUGAGGCCUCCAAGACGACGCUUCAUCCUUUCGAUACAGGGUUUUUAGUGAUGUGUAUCGCUCUCAGUCUUCCUAUGUCGCUCCAUACUCUCGAUUCAUCCUAUAUUGCUUCAUGCUCUAGCUUGAUACUCUUGAUUCAGAUUUACACAGCUGCAGUUUCGAAAUGGAAGUCUUUGAAAACCAGGAGACUGCAAAAUUGGGGUAUUAUACUACUGUAUGUUUAUCAAUUUGUUAAUUUCAUAGUGCAAACCAAUAUUGUGUUUUUUGUGGUGUUAUGUUUGUCACAGGGGGGAUUGCCCAUUCUCUUUCCUUGAGACGAUUACACCAGUAACCACCUCUUUUGCCCUCAAACGAAUUCGAAUAUAAGUUACUUAUCCCCUUCCUCUAAUUCUUGGUUUAUUCACGAUUUGAUUUUGAGUUUUAAAUGGAAUGACCUAAGUGUUGUUUUUGGUUCUACAUUUUACAGAAAAGAGUGUUUGAUAUAUCACUAGAUUGAUAUAGAUUUAUGGAUACCGAAGCUUCAAGGGGUGAUGAUGGAGCAGAAUUUUAACAGGUUCAAUCGCAGGUUUGUCUAUUCUUUCAUUAGAUGAUUGCAACCGGAGGUGAACACUUGCUUUAUAUCUUCUUGGUAGGCUUGCUCAGGUCAUGUAUGCUUUCGUAAUGCGUCCUGAGAGCUUGCCAAAACCAUAUCAAGAUUUUAUUCAGAAAACUGGUCCCGUUGCUCAGCCCUGUAUACAAGGCUGUCAAGGGUUGCUGUAGAGGGUCCCCAGUAGAUAUUGCAUUGCUCUCUUCUUAUCAACUGUGGAGGUUGCCAAUUUUUCCUUCAUUGCAAGAGUUUCCUUCUAUCAUACCUUGUUCAGUAAUUCACCUAGGCACAAAAUCAUGUUUGGCUCAUAGCGCGUAUGCAUCAUCAGCUACGUUUAAGAAAACAUUUUUUCUUUACUUACUGAAUUUUGUACCUUUCGUUGUUCUGCGUCUGCAAAAGGUUAGCCUUUGUGUUGCUUCUCAUACACCACUUACAUUAUAGUCUCAAAGAGUAGGUUAUUCGAGUCGGGCUCAGAAAAAAAAUACCAGGCUCGAGUCAAAUGACCUUUUCAAUAUAUGAGCUCGAACAUUUAUUGAAAUAUCGAACCUUUUCAAUCAAUUAACUCGUUUAUAAGAUCGAGAUUG